GUGACAGAGCAAGUUCUGGAGAUAAUUGGCCACCUCUUCUUUCUCAUGCCACCAGGCAAACUCAGAAACCAAGUGAACGAGUUAAUCCGAUGGUUAAUGACUUUGAUAUCUGCAAAAGUGAAGCCUUGCUACAUCUCUCAGCUGAGUGAAAAUGUCAACAACUCAGAUCCUUACUCCAUACAGAACCACAGCCCCGCCCUGAGGACUUUCUACUUCCUGAGUGAGUUAACACGUUUCCCUGGUGCCAGCUAUGUGUGCGUGUGGGUACUCAAGACUACCUUUGUCUCCCCCUGGACUGGACUGGGGGCCUACGUUCCCAUGAGGGGCUUCCAUCCUGAUGGACAUGUUGUGAAGUAAUCCACGUGGGCUUGGCCUGAAAUUCAGUGAACUGGCAAGGGCAUAGACAUUGCUCCACUCCUACCCUUUUUUCCCAUUCCCUUCACCUGGUGUUGGCUUCUCUUUCUUCUUUGGUGUCCCCAGCUCAGAAAGGUGAUAAUGCAAUCACAGUGCUGAUGAGUAUGAGAGGUGUUCUCACCCCUGGGAGGGCACAUGGUAGCGCAGGGGAGGGACAAGGCCUAGCUCAGGAAAAGCAUCAGGCCCCGCGCUUAGCACAUGGUAAAUGCUGGACAAACACUGGCUCUCUCUCUUCUUCCUUCCUUUCUCCAACCUAAUGGACCCUAUUUUAUCCUGCCCCUGGCAUCAGUGGUUUUCUGUGAGCAUGAUUUACUCCUACUUACCACCUGCCACUCAAACAUACUCUUGAUUCCCUUGUAUUCACGCCCUUCUGAUAGCCAAGUUAUACAGUGAUCAGGUGGUAUUCCUAAUACGAAAGACCAUGGAAUCCAACGAUCCAAUCAAGAUAGUACCAGCCCUUCAAGUCUUCAUGGAUGUGUUCCAGGAUGGUGAGUGGGAAUCGGGCCCGGUCCUAGGGAUCUUCUUUCCUAUGAGAUGUUCUUUCUCUGGGAGACAGUCCUGCAUAGUAGUUAAAAGCAUAGCUUAAAACUCAAUGUAAUUCAAAGUCAAUGGGUUCAAAUCUUGCCGCUUUUCCUCCUAUUAGCUGUGCAAACUUGGGCAGAUUACUUUUAGUCUGUGCUCUAUUCCUCGUCUGAAAAAUGGAGAUAAAAUUAACACCUACCUCUAGGGUAUUUUACUGAGGAUUAAAUGAGAAAACAUAUGUGAGGUGCUUAGAUGAUUGCCUACUAUGCAGUUUUGUGUUGCUUUAGUCUAUAAUUAGUAUCUCGGAGAGUAGGCUUCAGCUCCAAUCUAGCGUUUGUUAAACUGUCGCUGGGUGUGUGGCACAGUGCUGGCCACUGCAAAUACACAUGGUCCCUGCUCUCAAUGAGCUCACUGAGUAGGG
rnacentral:lncRNA from 1 species